UACGAAGGGGGCUAGCGUUGCUCGGAAUCACUGGGCGUAAAGCGCACGUAGGCGGAUCUUUAAGUCAGGGGUGGAAUCCUGGAGCUCAACUCCAGAACUGCCUUUGAUACUGAGGAUCUUGAGUCCGGGAGAGGUGAGUGGAACUCCGAGUGUAGAGGUGAAAUUCGUAGAUAUUCGGAAGAACACCAGUGGCGAAGGCGGCUCACUGGCCCGGUACUGACGCUGAUGCGCGAAAGCGUGGGGAGCAAACGGG
rnacentral:rRNA from 1 species